rnacentral:misc_RNA from 1 species
AAGUCGUAACAAGGUUUCCGUAGGUGAACCUGCGGAAGGAUCAUUAACACGUAUCCAAACGUUAAACCCCCCUGUGAACCUUCACCUGUACUCGUACGUCCGUUAGAAAAAGCAGCAAUCCCUGGUAAAUCAUCGCCGAACAGUUUUCGAUUCAGGGACGUCUGCAAGGAGCGUGCAUGUUGUGCAAAGUGUCAUUACCUGUGUAAGGAUGACGCAGUCACGAUCGUUGGAGGCCCACACGGCCGACGACCGGGUCGCUGGGCGCAAGCCCCCCUAUAACAAACCCCCUGCCAAUCGCGGCCGCGAUAAUACGCAGUCGACCAAAAACCGAACAACUGUUAACAAUGGAUAUCUUGGUUCUC